GAUGCAAACUCCGAAUACCUAUGAGUACUAUCCGGGAGACAGACUGCGGGUGCUAACGUCCGUAGUCAAGAGGAAAACAAUCCAGACCGCCAGCUAAGGCCCCAAAAUCAUAGUUAAGUGGGAAACGAUGUGGGAAGGCAUAGACAGCUAGGAGGUUGGCUUAGAAGCAGCCACCCUUUAAAGAAAGCGUAAUAGCUCACUAGUCGAGUCGGCCUGCGCGGAAGAUGUAACGGGGCUAAAACUAUGUGCCGAAGCUGCGGAUGUAUACUUUGUAUACGUGGUAGGGGAGCGUUCUGUAAGCCGAUGAAGGUGUGUUGAGAAGCAUGCUGGAGGUAUCAGAAGUGCGAAUGCUGACGUGAGUAACGACAAAACGGGUGAAAAACCCGUUCGCCGAAAGACCAAGGGUUCCAGUCCAACGUUAAUCGGGGCUGGGUGAGUCGACCCCUAAGGCGAGGCCGAAAGGCGUAGUCGAUGGGAAAAUGGUUAAUAUUCCAUUACUUCUGUGUAAUGCGAUGAGAGGACGGAGAAGGCUAAAUCAGCCUGGCGUUGGUUGUCCAGGUGAAAGGAUGUAGGCAUGUAUCUUAGGCAAAUCCGGGGUACUCUAUGCUGAGAUCUGAUAGCAAGCUGUACUUGUACAGCGAAGUGGUUGAUGCCAUGCUUCCAGGAAAAGUCUCUAAGCUUCAGUUACACAGGAAUCGUACCCGAAACCGACACAGGUGGUCAGGUCGAGUAGACCAAGGCGCUUGAGAGAACUCUGCUGAAGGAACUAGGCAAAAUGGUACCGUAACUUCGGGAGAAGGUACGCUGUUGUUGGUGAUGGAACUCGCUUCCUGAGCUGACGACAGCCGCAGAAACCAGGCCGCUGCAACUGUUUAUUAAAAACAUAGCACUCUGCAAACACGAAAGUGGACGUAUAGGGUGUGAUGCCUGCCCGGUGCUGGAAGGUUAAUUGAUGGGGUUAGCGUAAGCGAAGCUCUUGAUCGAAGCCCCAGUAAACGGCGGCCGUAACUAUAACGGUCCUAAGGUAGCGAAAUUCCUUGUCGGGUAAGUUCCGACCUGCACGAAUGGCAUAAUGAUGGCGGCGCUGUCUCCAGCAGAGGCUCAGUGAAAUCGAAAUCGCUGUGAAGAUGCAGUGUACCCGCGGCUAGACGGAAAGACCCCGUGAACCUUUACUGCAGCUUGACACUGAACUUUGACCUUACUUGUGUAGGAUAGGUGGGAGGCUUUGAAGCUGGAACGCUAGUUCCAGUGGAGCCGUCCUUGAAAUACCACCCUGGUAAUGUUGAGGUUCUAACUCUGUCCCGUGAUCCGGGACGAGGACCGUGUCUGGUGGGUAGUUUGACUGGGGCGGUCUCCUCCUAAAGAGUAACGGAGGAGUACGAAGGUGCGCUCAGCGUGGUCGGAAAUCACGCGUAGAGUAUAAAGGCAAAAGCGCGCUUAACUGCGAGACCCACAAGUCGAGCAGGUACGAAAGUAGGUCUUAGUGAUCCGGUGGUUCUGUAUGGAAGGGCCAUCGCUCAACGGAUAAAAGGUACUCUGGGGAUAACAGGCUGAUACCGCCCAAGAGUUCAUAUCGACGGCGGUGUUUGGCACCUCGAUGUCGGCUCAUCUCAUCCUGGGGCUGAAGCAGGUCCCAAGGGUAUGGCUGUUCGCCAUUUAAAGAGGUACGCGAGCUGGGUUUAGAACGUCGUGAGACAGUUCGGUCCCUAUCUACCGUGGGCGCUGGAAAUUUGAGAGGAUCUGCUCCUAGUACGAGAGGACCAGAGUGGACGAACCUCUGGUGUACCGGUUGUGACGCCAGUCGCAUCGCCGGGUAGCUAUGUUCGGAAGGGAUAACCGCUGAAAGCAUCUAAGCGGGAAGCCUACCUCAAGAUAAGAUUUCCCUAGGACUUUAUGUCCUCUAAAGAGCCGUUCGAGACUAGGACGUUGAUAGGUUGGAUGUGGAAGCAUAGUGAUAUGUGAAGCUGACCAAUACUAAUUGCUCGUGAGGCUUGACUAU
rnacentral:rRNA from 1 species